rnacentral:lncRNA from 1 species
UUCCAGUUCCUGCGACUAAAAAGGUAAUACUUUCCCUAUUCUCAUCUUAUGCGCUCACCAUUUAUUUGAUUUAUUUAAAUCUGGUUGGUUAGUUUGAAUAUGAUUUGGUGUGUAGAUUAGUCUUUUGAGGUGUUGGGUUUGAUUGCUGGAAUGGAAUAGUAAGGAUCUAAAUAUUAACCUUCCCUUUUUGUGCUUCAUGAUUUUUCUGUACAAUUUCUUGUUUGUUUAAGCCAUGGUUUUUGAUCGUAAUUCUUUCUCGCUGUUUAUAAUAUUUAGAUUCUUUUGGGGUAUUCUGGAUUAUUAUUAUCAUUUUGUUGGUAGUGUUGGAUUUAGCGGUAGUGCGAAAUGAGACAGCUGCUAGCAUAAGUUGUUCAACAGAUUUAGAUUUUGAUGAAUCCUUGUGCGAUCUUCUUGUGUGCCAAGCACUGUAUUCCCUUGAAAUGGCUUGAAUAGCUUCCUUAUUAGACGAUGUUACCUGGCAGUAAUAGAGCUUUUCUUUGUGAAAUAUAUGGCCUCUUGUUGAAAUUAUUGUCUGGAAACUAUUUUUCUUUUCUGCAUGUUGUAGUAAAGUUUGACAUUAAUUUGAUUGUAUUUGAAACCAAUACAUGUUCUUUGAAGUGAUAAACUGCCAAUGUUAACUCAUUUAUAAAAAACUUACUGGUACACCAAAUUCAUAUCAACAUAGAUUUUGUUUACUCUUUUAUCAUCUUUAUGAUACAUUUUAUCUAGUUUAUCAAUUAGCAUGCCAAAGUAUAUUUUUUGAUGUAAAGGAUAUUAAAAGGAUGUGAACGAAAAAUCAUAACUUGAAUUGCAAUUACGUAUUAUGAUUUGUGUCUCACGGUGGGCAAGGGUGCAUUGGUUUUGCUUUUCUUUCUUUCGGUUAAUUCUCAUCCUUAUAGCAUACUCAUAUGAAUACUAAUCUUUUUCUUUUUAUCUCUUAUGCAUGGAAUCCUCCGUUGAGUCCCUCGGACUCUCUUCCCUCGCAUUUCGUGGGUUAAACGCAACUUGCAUUGAGUCAAGACCCACGGCAAGUCCUAAAUGGACUAAUGCAUGAAGAAAUUAGAUCAAUACAGUGCUGGUAUUCACCAGAUAUACGUAAAUUUACAGUUGCAGGAAAAGGGAAAUGAAAAAAGGAAGCUGAUUAUACGGGGACGACUGUAUUUGUGUGAAUGUGACUGAAAUACGGUCAUAUAUACACCAUAUAUACACAAUAAACUCUGGAAAAAAUAGCUGCAAUAUACAACUGAUAUACAUGAAAAAAUGGAUUGAAAAUCCAUGGAGUUUAGGCCCAAAGGCUGGGCAGCCCAUUAAUCGGCCCAAAGGGCCCAAUUUUAACUCUUCUUUUAUUCCCUGUUCUUAUUUAUAAGUAUUUCCUUGAACACUCUUAACUAAUCAAUCUAGAUAAAUUCCCUAAG